CGCUAAAGGAAAGUGAGAAAAAAAUAGGACAACAAAUUUAGUGUUUUUAUACUAGAUGCAAGAACUACAGUACCAAGAAGUAGCAGACACCAGAGAAAGAAUAAUUCAAAGAAGAGCCAGGAGAACAGCCUGGCUUACACUGCCUCUACCUCUUCAAGAUUCUAAGUUCCAGGUCUGGCCUCUGAAAGGAGCCUUGAGCCUGCUGGAGCAAAAACAGAGAGGACCCUGAGACUACAUGGAGGGGGAGAUGGGCUCUGCUGAGCUCAGACAUCCAGCUGUCCCUGCCAAGGUGCCAGGCAUGUGAGUGUUGGACCUCUGACACAAGCUCAGAGUCAGCUGAAGUCCACCAACCCCAGGUGACGUGACAAGGAGCAGAAGAAUUGCCCAAAUUCCUGACCUUCAACAUGGUGAGAUAUGAUAAAACGGUUGUUGUUCUGAAUUGCUAAGUUUUGGGGUAGUUAUCAAAGAGAAGUGGGGUAGCAAAAUUAACCAGUUGCCUGAUCUUGACAAUAGAAUAAGAUAAAAGAACAAAUAACUCAGUACGAUAGUGAACAGACUCCCAAAUAAGAUCCUAUUGCCCUAGCCAGCCUUGGACUUUGUCCAGUUCCCUGCUCAUGUCUUCUGGCUCAGACCCUUCCUCUGUGUCUUCACUAUUGUCAUGGUGCAAUAGAAAACCAUAACACCAGGAAAAUAAGGAGAAACCAAGUCCAACUCUAACAAAGAGGUUUUUCUGAAAACCACCUUCAUGUUUCUUGAGUUAGGAUAUACCUUUGAGAAUAUCACAGAGACCACUGAUCAAUUAUUUGAAAUGAUGGGUUCAAGAACUGACAUCAGCUUUUCAGCCAUAUAAAACAAAGCUGCCUCAUUAAUGGAUCUUUGCAACUUUUCCAAGUAUCUAAUAACACAUCACUCUGGAAUAGUUGUUAAAAGAGUUUUAUCUUUUUAUAGCCUUCUUCCCCAGGCAACUUUUAACAAGUUGGAUCUGUACCCAGACCUUUUUACUGGUCUGACCCCAUCAUCAUCAUCUUCCACUUUAACACGAUUUUGCAAAGAUCAACAGUGAUCCCUCCUACCCCUCUCCUGCUGCUGCUUUUUUUUUUUUUGCCUCCAAACAAACUCAAAGUAAUAUAUAAAACUUGUCACUUUCAGCAUGUAAAAAUAACUAUUUUAAUAGCUGGUAAUGGCUGGUUAUUCAUUUUUGUUGGGAAAAGUUUAUUCAUUAUAGAAGUAUACUGCCUUAGAAUUAAAAAGAUAAUUCAACAAGAAAGCUGGAUAGGGGUCAAAAUUUGUUUCUGAAUUUCUUCAGUUCCUGAUUUGUCUUUUUCUCAAAUGACCAAGGAUGUGAAACUAGAUUUGCGGAGGAAUUAUUCAAAAGGUUAAACUGAGACAAGUCCAUAGUUGAAAUUAGCAAUGAAAGCCUAUCCAUUCUGGCAGAAAUCAUGUGCUUUCUCUCAGUCCUGUUUAGCUUAUUCAGAUUAAAAGCUGAUAGUGAGAAAGCUAGAUAUUUUCUUUGAUCUUACAUCAUUCUGUAAUCAUUGAUUGACGAAGUAAUAAAGAAAUCCUAUAGAA